rnacentral:lncRNA from 1 species
CUACCCAUCGGAGGAUGCUCUGUCUUGUGGGUGUAGAUCGGGUGCUUAGCACAUGACCACAGACCUAGGAGAGCGGGUUGAGGAGGUAUCACUUCGGGGCCCUUUACAGAUAUGUGAGCAUUUUCACUUAGCCCUAGUGGAGAAGGAAAGGCGAUGGGGGAAGGGUGCAGUGUGGCAACAGAGGCGCUGGACCUGGCUUCCAGUCCUGGCUCACUAGCAUCUGCUUAGGCCAGUCACUCCUCUUCCUUGAGCCUUAAGACCUGCCCCAUCAACCUCCCAAGGUUGCUUAUUCAUUGAGCAAACAUGGAAUAUCCAAUAAAGGGUGAAGGGUCACUUAAAACAGGCAUAUGGCAGUGCUCUCUAAACAUGGGAGGGCGCAACAACCCCAGAUUGUGUAUUCUUAGCCAGUUUUUGACUCUGUGCCUUGGGCAACCCCUGCCUUGGCUUGUGCUGUCUUCUCCAUCUGGCCUGUCCUUUCCUUUCCUACCUGACUAACUCCUUGUCAUGAGCUUCACCCCUUC